rnacentral:pre_miRNA from 1 species
ACAACAACAUUCGGACCGUCGGUCUACCGAGCAAUAUCAUCCACUCGGUGGAAGAUCUUCCCUUUGUCGUUUAAG